GGCAAUGGUGGCUGAAUGGCUAAGGCUCUAGGUUAGUGAUCAGAAGGUUGGGGGUUCAAGCCCCAGCACUGUCA